rnacentral:lncRNA from 1 species
UCAUUUUAUAAAAUUUCCUAUUCAGUAGACAUAAAUUCCAAUAAAUCCUUGAAGUGCCCAUUUUGGAGUUGUGCGAAGGGGAAAUACAGGAACAAUUUCCCGAAUGGAAAGUUUAGCUUUUCCAUUGGCCAAAUUAAAGUGUCCCACCCUGCUGGCUUUUAACUUUUUUACUUUGCCAAUGAUUUUGCCAAUGAUUUCAGGGAUUUAUCUCUCCCUCACCAACCCCAAGUGACAUGGCAUGCCACGCCAGCUUAUGCCCCUCUCCCCUAUACUACAACAACAAACAGCCCUAUCAAUUAUUAUUAUUAU